rnacentral:rRNA from 1 species
UACGUAGGGUGCGAGCGUUAAUCGGAAUUACUGGGCGUAAAGCGUGCGCAGGCGGUUCGUUGUGUCCGUCGUGAAAGCCCCGGGCUUAACCUGGGAACUGCGAUGGAAACUAGCGAGCUGGAGUGUGGCAGAGGGGGGUGGAAUUCCGCGUGCAGCAGUGAAAUGCGUAGAGAUGCGGAGGAACACCGAUGGCGAAGGCAGCCCCCUGGGCUAACACUGACGCUCAGGCACGAAAGCGUGGGGAGCAAACAGG